GGAGCAUGGAAAAAGCUGUGAAGGCUAACGUUGAUGCCUUGUGGGCCCGAGUCCAAGAGGAAAAUGCUAAACAUGAGAAGGCUGAGAAAGAACGGACACAGCAAAUUACAGGCUUCAUUACAAAUUGCAUGAGCAAGGAUUUACCUUCCAUCGUCGAGAGGGCAUUAAAGAAGGAAAUAUCAGCAGUCGGUCCUAACCUGGCUCGUGCAAUCACUCCAUCUGUUGAGAAGGCCAUUUCUUCAGCUAUAGCGGAGUCUUUUCAGAGAGGGGUUGGGGACAAGGCCGUGAAUCAGUUGGAGAAGUCAGUUAAUGCAAAACUUGAGGCUACAGUUGCUAGACAAAUCCAGGCUCAGUUCCAAACCUCUGGAAAGCA
rnacentral:misc_RNA from 1 species